AAAAUCUUAGUCAGUGUUAAUUAACACUUUGGUCUUGAUUAUUUUCUGGCAGACCAAGGGAGGGAGCUGUGUUUAUUCUGUGGAUCCCUCCAGCCAUCUGGAGGAGUCAGAGACUUGAAGUGGAGUGGACGCUGGACCAUUCAGGGCAAUGGGACAAGUGGCUAACAAGCUCAAUCCCUGCCAUGUGGGUGAGCUCCUCAGGAGCCCUCAGAGGUUGUCCAGAAGGUCUUAGACACCGUUCAGCACAAUC
rnacentral:lncRNA from 1 species